UUACGACAACCGUUUAGGUCCCGCCCCCCUUUCUUGUUGCUUGGCGACACAGGCCACCGCCUCUACCCAGCGAAUCGCAGAGGUAGCGGUUCCCGGAGGACUGAGACGGUUUUGAGAUCCCAGAAAACCGACCGGAUCGGAGCUCACGCUUGCUGAGACGUCAGAAGUCACAGUAGGAUUAUGCCCUCCAGGGCAGGAGGAAGAGUUCAGAGACUGACGCAGUAGCACAAGAGCGGUGGUGGACCUGAGCCACUUGUUGGCUACUUGAACCUAGAUCCCAACUAGGAGCUUCAAACCUGGGACGCCUUGCUGAAAAAGAUGUUUAACCUAAACCUGCCACCAGAUCCCAAGGAGGUGGCAGCCAUUGAGGCUAGAAGAAGUCGAGAAAGAGAGCGACAAAACCGAUUCUUUGAUGUGCGGACCCGAGUCAUAGGGGUGGAUGUUAGAGCGCUGAACAGCCAGGUGCAAGAGCAGAAGCUUCGGGAGGCAGCAGAGCGGAGCAAGGAGGCAGCUUACGGUGCCAACCAGGUGCACUUUGACCUGGUAGCCCAGAUGCUGCAGAAGAAAGAGGAAGAACGAAAACGUUGGCUGCCCCAAAAAGUCCAGGAGUUUCCAGCACAGGGGCAGCAGCUCAAGAAGAUGCAUGAAUUUUGCCUUUGGGAUCCAGACCAACCAUGGAAGGGGUAUUCAGCCUGUCGCGGUGACACUAAGCCCCAAUGUGGCCCAGCCAGCAUGCAGUGCCUCUCUAGGGAGGACUUGGACAGGACCACGUGCCGGAGAAUGCAGCAGGAGUUCAAGCACAGCCUGGAGAAGCAGGUGAAGGAGCAACAGCAAGCCAGGGCUGAAGAAAUCAGUGCAGCCCUCCAGUCUCUGAAGUCCAUGCCACAGUGCCACUUCAAAGCCAAGCCUUUAACCUGUGCUCCAGACCCCAUUGUCCCUGCCCCGCCCCCCAGGCUGUGCUCCCUGACAUCCGCUUCCCCAGGCACUUCCCCUUCUGUGCAAGCUAUAAACAAGCUUAUAUCUAAACCGCUUAAACAAAAGCUUCCCUCCACUGGGUGAUUCCUCUAGAAUCUGUGAGCUAGCUAGCUGUCUGCCUUUACCUACCUUUCUUCUUUUUUUUACAACCAUACCUUUUAAAACACUCUGCUUCCACUUGUUGUGGUAAUUUCCCGGUCACACCUCAAGCCUCUCCCUCUGAUCUCCUCUCCCCACACAACCUCACUGCCACUACUCUUACUAAAAUCACCAAGGCCCGUGGUGUUAUCAGGCCCAAGUGGCUCUGUUUACUCUUUUCUCCUUGACUAGGUCUUUCUUGCUACACUUGACCCUAGUUACAUCCUCCUCCUUGAACCUUUCUCUUCCUCAGCUUCAGUGACAGCACAAUCUGCUCGCAGCUCUCUGACCAUCCUUCUCUGUCUGCCUUUUGUGAGUUCCUCUUCCUUCCACUCUUUCCUUCAUGAGACUUUGUCCCUAACACACUGCUCUCCCUACCUUGCAUAAUUACCCCAGAUGUCCUUUGCCCUCAUUCUGGUUUCAGCUAUAUCAUCACUUCUGUCCUGACUCUCUACCUGCUGAAUCACAUAUCCAGAUGCCUGCUGACCAUCUCUAACUCAUCUUCCUAAACAGAGUUCAUCAGUGCCCCCUAACCUGCUCUUCAUUCUGUAUCUUCUACUUCUGGUGGUGGCCACACCAUGUACGCAGUCAUCUAAGCCAGCACCCUGAGAAGCACCUGAGUCUUCUCUCCCUCACUCCCUCAUCUAAGUACUACUGAUGUAACCUCCCAUAUUUCCCCUCCAGCCUUUCCAGCACUGGUCUAGUUUGAAUCCUCCCAACUGGCCUGCUGCCUAGCCUCCAAGAUGGGUUCCUUAUCUCCACUGCCUCCCACCAGGAGCUUUCUGAAAUGCAAAUCUAACAGGUUCACCUCCUUGAUUAAAAUCCUCCCAUGUUCCCCACCACCCUCUGGUGAAGUUUCUGGCCCUUAGUCUGGCCCCUACAGAACUCUCUAGCCACUUGCAUUUUAUGUGCCAUAGUAGAUGCUCAAUAAAUAUUUGUCAAAUGAAUUCAUUGAGCACCAACUACAUGCCAGGCUCUGAUCUAGGUGCUAGCACUUGGUAGUGAAUAAGAGAGACAAAAACCCUGCCUUCACGAAGGUUACCUUCUAGUGAGGAGAGAGACAGGGAAUAGUCAAAAUAAUUUUAAAUGUAGCAUAUAUUGGAUGGUUACAAAUGCUAGAGAGAAAAAUCAGGGGAGGGAGAUAAAUGUUGGAGGCAGGCAGGUUGCAAUUUUAAAUAGGAGAGAAAAGGCCUUACUAAAACAGUAACAUUUGAGCAAAGACCUGAGGGAAGCAAGAAAGCUGAGCCAAGAGUAACAUCUAUUGCAAACCCAUAAGGCAGGAGUGUCUGGCAUGUUCUAGAAACAGCAAGACUAGUGUGGCUGGAUUCAGUGUCAGUUCCUAUGCUCAUGUUAUGCCCAUGGCCUAGAAUGCUCUUUGCUCUUUCUGCCCAUAUGCAACAUGCAUUUCAAGGAUCACCUCCUCCUGGAAGCCUACUUUCACCCACUAUCUAAAGCUCUCAUAAUGCCCUGUAUCACUGACCUUACCAUGCUGUAGUAUGAUGAUCUGCGUUUGACCCAUCCCCCCACUAGACAGGGGGUCUCUGAGAAAAGGAUCUGAUUCUGUGGUGUCCUCAGAAUCCAACACAUGGCUCUUAGACUGAGGCUCAGAGAGACGGAAUUAUUUCCCCAACGUCACACAGCUCAGAAGCAACAGAGCUGGCAUUGGGAUCCAGGUCCAUUGGAGGCAUCUUUCGGUUACGCACCAGAGAAAUCCUGGUUACUGCCACUUUGGCUAGACUUACCUAUACAGAGUAACUCGUUCUGCAUCCCUGCAUUAGGAUAUUGCCCCCACUCCAAAACAUACAUACACACACUCCAACAAUACUCAUUGAACAUACAGCUGCAUUAGUGAACCACGAAUGGAGCAGGCCAGUACAGUGCCUGGCCACAUUUCUCUGUGUAGAUGAGCUCAGAGACAAGCUGCGCCUAGCUGUGGACACGCAGGCCGCCCAGCUGGCCAAGCUGGAGGAGUCCUGUUGCAAAGCCAUGAGGUAUGCCGUGGCCAACGCCAACAAAGUCCAGGCAGCUGAGCAGGCUGAGCGAAAGCGCC